CGAUGGGAAACAGGUUAAUAUUCCUGUACUUGGUGUUACUGCGAAGGGGGGACGGAGAAGGCUAUGUUAGCCGGGCGACGGUUGUCCCGGUUUAAGCAUGUAGGCUGGUUGUCCAGGCAAAUCCGGAUAAUCAAGGCUGAGGUGUGAUGACGAGGCACUACGGUGCUGAAGUAACAAAUGCCCUGCUUCCAGGAAAAGCCUCUAAGCAUCAGGUAACAUUAAAUCGUACCCCAAACCGACACAGGUGGUCAGGUAGAGAAUACCAAGGCGCUUGAGAGAACUCGGGUGAAGGAACUAGGCAAAAUGGUGCCGUAACUUCGGGAGAAGGCACGCUGGUGUGUAGGUGAAGUCCCUGCGGAUGGAGCUGAGACCAGUCGAAGAUACCAGCUGGCUGCAACUGUUUAUUAAAAACACAGCACUGUGCAAACACGAAAGUGGACGUAUACGGUGUGACGCCUGCCCGGUGCCGGAAGGUUAAUUGAUGGGGUUAUCCGUAAGGAGAAGCUCUUGAUCGAAGCCCCGGUAAACGGCGGCCGUAACUAUAACGGUCCUAAGGUAGCGAAAUUCCUUGUCGGGUAAGUUCCGACCUGCACGAAUGGCGUAAUGAUGGCCAGGCUGUCUCCACCCGAGACUCAGUGAAAUUGAACUCGCUGUGAAGAUGCAGUGUACCCGCGGCAAGACGGAAAGACCCCGUGAACCUUUACUAUAGCUUGACACUGAACAUUGAGCCUUGAUGUGUAGGAUAGGUGGGAGGCUUUGAAGCGUGGACGCCAGUCUGCGUGGAGCCAACCUUGAAAUACCACCCUUUAAUGUUUGAUGUUCUAACGUUGGCCCCUUACCGGGGUUGCGGACAGUGUCUGGUGGGUAGUUUGACUGGGGCGGUCUCCUCCCAAAGCGUAACGGAGGAGCACGAAGGUUAGCUAAUCCUGGUCGGACAUCAGGAGGUUAGUGCAAUGGCAUAAGCUAGCUUGACUGCGAGCGUGACGGCGCGAGCAGGUGCGAAAGCAGGUCAUAGUGAUCCGGUGGUUCUGAAUGGAAGGGCCAUCGCUCAACGGAUAAAAGGUACUCCGGGGAUAACAGGCUGAUACCGCCCAAGAGUUCAUAUCGACGGCGGUGUUUGGCACCUCGAUGUCGGCUCAUCACAUCCUGGGGCUGAAGUAGGUCCCAAGGGUAUGGCUGUUCGCCAUUUAAAGUGGUACGCGAGCUGGGUUUAGAACGUCGUGAGACAGUUCGGUCCCUAUCUGCCGUGGGCGCUGGAGAAUUGAGGGGGGCUGCUCCUAGUACGAGAGGACCGGAGUGGACGCAUCACUGGUGUUCGGGUUGUCAUGCCAAUGGCACUGCCCGGUAGCUAAAUGCGGAAGAGAUAAGUGCUGAAAGCAUCUAAGCACGAAACUUGCCCCGAGAUGAGUUCUCCCUGAGACUUUAAGUCUCCUGAAGGAACGUUAAAGACGAUGACGUUGAUAGGCCGGGUGUGUAAGCGCAGCGAUGCGUUGAGCUAACCGGUACUAAUGAACCGUGAGGCUUAACCUU
rnacentral:rRNA from 1 species